UCUUUCAUUCCAUCAUCUCUAUUAGUUUGCCAACUGGCACUGACAGGAGUGUAAAACUAUUGCAAAUUGUUACUUCAGCAGUACUCUGCCUGCCAAGAACUGAUCAGCUGCUCCUCUGAAUGCACCUUUCACUCUUUCCUAACUGAAGCAGUCUGAGCCUGCAGUGCUGUUGUGUUAUAAAUCUUUUCCAGCAGCAUUUGAAUUUAGUCACCUGAAUUCCAUCACUUUAAGAUAAACAUGCAUGAAUGUGAUCAUUAUGAAAACAAAUGUGUAGUCUGCAAAUUGGAGGAGGUGUGGGGUACAGCACCAUAGGGUUGCCUCAGCUUAGGAUUCCUUACUUCACAUUUUAGUACCUCAGGAAUCUGUGAGAGACUCAAAACUAAGCAUUCAAGAUCUCAGCAUAAGGGAGUUUUCUUCGUGAAAACCCAUGGGUUUCCUGAAUCAACGCCUGGAUAUGGUUGGACAGCCUGGACUUCAAAGGGCAAUGAGCAAUUUACUUCUGAUUGGAUGAUACCUGUGUAAGAGCUUUCACAGGGUGGAUGGAUGGAUCGGUAGACAGACAGACUGCCCAGUUUAAGAGAUGUCUUCCACAGGUGUAAGACACCUGAAUACUGACCUACCAUAGGAGUGAGCAUCUCCUCUGCUACUCAAGACAGAAGGCAAGAACAAAAUGUGAGCAAAGAGCUGAAUUUUCCAAUGAUCAGUACUGAAGGGAAAACAAAUAAAGGGGACCUGUGCUCAUGUCAGAACCAUGGCCAGGAAGGCAAGUGAAUGGACAGGUGCUUGAUACACAUGCUAUGUUUAGGACCUGGGAUGAAAGAAGGUUAGAAGGAUUUAUGGGGCUUGCUAACACUGUGAUGGACUCUGAGCACAUGGAGGAGAGAUGGGAAAGAAGGCAACAGCUGGUAAUGUUAUAGCCAACAGACUUGCUAACCCUUUCAGUAGACACAUGACAGUCAAAAUUGAAAUGGACAGCUAAACCCAUGUGUGGGUCCUGAGAUUCUUUGCCACUGACUAUCUUUUAAUCUCUCUUUUCACCCCCAAUUAAAAUACUUCAAGUGUAGAUUAUUUGGGUCCACAUUUUCUUCUGCCCCAUCCUUAAAAAUUUCUCUAUUUGGCCUUCUCAUGCACUUCUGCAGAAUACUCAAAAGAAGAGUCAGUGGACCUGGAGUGGGGAGUGGGAAGUAUUUAUUAUCUCUGUCAAGUGCUAUUACACAAUGCUGAUAUGCAUCUUAAAAUAUCGAAUAAACUGAUAAAGUGUUCAUAUGUCGUUUCUGAGACAUGUAGUCAGCCAAAUAUGAACAGUUCUAAAACAAGAGCUGCCAAGUUCCAUGCACAAGCCAAGGGGAGAUUUGUACAGAGCUGAAAAGAGCUUAACUGUAGAUUAUCACCCCAAUGCUCUGGGCCUUUAGUACCAUGACUUGCACUCAUAACAUGAAUAACACAAGAAGGGGGCAUGUCUAAAUCAUUUGCAUUCAAGAGUGGGGGUCAAGUGCUAGGUCUUCCUAUUUCCCUUUCUUGGUGUAUACCUUAUUUAUAUUACUCAAAACUUAAAUAUUUAACAAGAUUAUAGUUUAGUUUCUUCUUUUGAAAUUGUUAAUUGGGAUAAUUGGGGAAUUAACAAAGUUAUGCUCUUAAAAUAGGGAAUAUUUUGGAAAUCUCAUUAUAAUAAGAAAUAUAAAUUAUUUGGCUUUUAUGACAUGUAUUUUAACUAGCAGUCACAAUCUAACAUUAACACCAAAACAGGGAAUUUCUAGAGUUAGGGGGAAAAAAAAGAAAAACAAGAUAAGAGCAUGAAAAUAUGCUAAACCCUACUUUAAAAUAUACAAAAUUAUUGGAAAUAGUUUUGAUUAUUAAUGAUGAUAUUGCUCAGUUUUAGGUGAAGGGACAAAUUCAGAUGGUUAGUGACUUGCUAAAGUCUACCUUGUUGGAUGGUAAAAAAAAAAAAAAAAAGAAAAAUACCAAGAUUCAAACCCAGAUGGUUAGGUCCAUAAAUGUAUGUGUUGGGCAAACUUCCUCACAGAAAAAAAAGUGAUUCUAUUUUGCCUAAGAUGUUUUUAAAAUCUCAAGUUUAUUUUCUAAAUAUGUGUUUUUCAAUAGAAUGAUUUUGUUCCAAAUUUCUUCAUCAUUUAUGAUAUCAGCGAUCUACCACACCAGCAGAUUCAAUAACUUGGUAUAAUGGAAUAUAUGGAAUUCAUUUCUGCUACAAAGGAAUAAAAAUUAUGUUAAAAGUA